GCGGGUGUGGUGAAGCGGUUAACACGGCGGAUUGUGGCUCCGUUAUGCGUGGGUUCGAUCCCCACCACUCGCCCCA
rnacentral:tRNA from 1 species